GACGAACGCUGGCGGCGUGCUUAACACAUGCAAGUCGAGCGGUAAGGCCCUUUCGGGGGUACACGAGCGGCGAACGGGUGAGUAACACGUGGGUGACCUGCCCUCAGCUCUGGGAUAAGCCUGGGAAACUGGGUCUAAUACCGGAUAUGACUCCAUGACGCAUGUUGUGGGGUGGAAAGCCUUGUGCGGCUGAGGAUGGGCCCGCGGCCUAUCAGCUUGUUGGUGGGGNGAUGGCCUACCAAGGCGACGACGGUAGCCGGCCUGAGAGGGCGACCGGCCACACUGGGACUGAGACACGGCCCAGACUCCUACGGGAGGCAGCAGUGGGGAAUCUUGCGCAAUGGGCGAAAGCCUGACGCAGCGACGCCGCGUGA
rnacentral:rRNA from 1 species